rnacentral:lncRNA from 1 species
UAAGAAAGAACUCAUAAAAAUCGCGAGCUCUUGGUUUUUGUUUCAAUUUAUACCAAUUCUACAGUUUCAAGAUGUUUUCCCCAAUUUCAAACCACAAUCUCGCUUACUAAGAUCCUACCAAACUUUUCGACAACAAUUUACAAGUUUUCCCCAAAUUUUACCUGACCUAAAUACAAAAUACAAGGAAAUCAAGGUCAAGAAAUAACUUACCAGAAUGAAGGAUGUCGAUUCAGAAGAUAAAGUCUUGAU